CGGGGAUUAGCGCAGUGGCUAGCGCGCGGCGUUCGGGUCGCCGAGGUCGCCGGUUCAAAUCCGGCAUCCCCGACCA
rnacentral:tRNA from 1 species